CGUGGUCAAGCACGCAGGGCGUGGGACAGGCAAAUCCGUCCCGCAUGGGUCCGAGGUGCGAUGGUGGGGGCCUUAUGGCCCGAUAUCCGGUGAUCCCGGCUGCCGAGAAAAGCUUCGGCGUGAGGCUGUUGGCCGCCCGUACCCCAAACCGACACUGGUGGUCAGGUAGAGAAUACCAAAGCGAUCGAGCGAAUCCUGGUCAAGGAACUCGGCAAAUCACUCCCGUUCCUUCGGUUUAAGGGAGACCCCCGAUGGUGAUCCGCCUCGCGCGGGGAGCUUUUGGGGGUGGCACAGACCAGGGGGUAGCGACUGUUUACCAAAAACACAGGUGCAUGCGAAGGCGCAAGCCGCUGUAUAUGCACUGACGCCUGCCCGGUGCCGGAAGGUUAAGAGGAUCCGUCAGCCUUCGGGUGAAGCGGUGAAUUCAAGCCCCGGUAAACGGCGGUGGUAACUAUAACCAUCCUAAGGUAGCGAAAUUCCUUGUCGGGUAAGUUCCGACCUGCACGAAUGGCGUAACGACUUCCCCACUGUCUCGACCAGGAGCUCGGCGAAAUUGCAGUACGAGUAAAGAUGCUCGUUAAGCGCAGAAGGACGAAAAGACCCCGGGACCUUUACUAUACCUUGGUAUUGGCAUUCGGUGUGGAUUGUGUAGCAUAGGCGGGAGGCUUCGAAGCGUUGGCGCCAGCCAGUGUGGAGCCGUAAGGUGAAAUACCGCUCUGUUCGCAUUGGAUGUCUAACCUCGAACAGUCAUCCUGUUCAGGGACAGUGCCUGGCGGGUAGUUUAACUGGGGCGGUUGCCUCCCAAAGAGUAACGGAGGCGCCCAAAGGUCCGCUCAGCCCGGUUGGCAAUCGGGUGGCGAGUGCAAGUGCACAAGCGGGCUUGACUGCGAGGACGACGGUCCGAGCAGGGACGAAAGUCGGGACUAGUGAUCCGGUGCCGGUGUACGGACGCGGCAUCGCUCAACGGAUAAAAGGUACCCCGGGGAUAACAGGCUGAUCAUUCCCAAGAGUCCAUAUCGACGGGAUGGUUUGGCACCUCGAUGUCGGCUCGUCGCAUCCUGGGGCUGGAGCAGGUCCCAAGGGUUCGGCUGUUCGCCGAUUAAAGCGGCACGCGAGCUGGGUUCAGAACGUCGUGAGACAGUUUGGUCUCUAUCCUCUGCGCUCGUUGGAAUGUUGAGGAGGCCUGCCCAUAGUACGAGAGGACCUGGGUGGACGAACCUCUGGUAUGCCGGUUGUCACGCCAGUGGCACGGCCGGUUGGCUACGUUCGGAAGGGAUAACCGCUGAAAGCAUCUAAGCGGGAAGCCUGCUCCAAGAUAAGCAUUCCGUGCAGCCUCGAGCUGCUGUAGUCCCCAUGCAGAACACGUGGUCGAUAGGCCGGACGUGGAAGCCCCGCGAGGGGUGGAGCCGACCGGUACUAACGGACGAAAGGCAACACUC
rnacentral:rRNA from 1 species